CAUUUGUCAAGGGUUUGUUUUUAACUAUUUUUGGACACGUUUAUUUUCUUCGUUGCAAAAAAGGAGCGUGAUAACCAGUAUCCGUACUACUUCCGCCACAAAGAACCUAAAGGGAUUUGAAGUAUAAGAUACAGAAGGGGUCCAAGCCAUAUGGUGCUUCACUCAAGGCUAUCCUGAUCUCCCAAAAGAAUCUGGCUAGAUUCACAUCUGAAUGUACUUACUCUUUCUACAUCACAGCAACCCAAAUCAAGGAAGUUUGGAGCUGGGUAGGCACGCACACUCAUCUUUGUUCAUGACCUUCACCAUUUGUAAGAAAGGUGAAAAAACAGAAUGCAUCACAUAUGAACAAUUUGCCAGUUAGUCAAGACUAGCAGAAGGUGAGGCAGUUGUAACCAUCUCUCUCCUACCAGCUAUAUGCAAAUUUCUUAAUUUUCCACAUAGAGACUGUUAGCCUUUACAACAAUGCCACUCUUGGAUUUUUCCAUCUCAAUCUGCUUUACAUAAAAUGUAUGUACCAUCUGUUUUAGUUGCUUUUCAUCUAGCAUAUCAAGAAUAUAAGCCCUCUUGGUGCAGGUACAUGUUCUUUACCUCACAUGCAGAUUACUUGUAAUGUAUUUCAUUUUUUUUUUUUCAAAAAAGGAGAGGUUAGCUCUCAAAAAAAGUUAUGUUUUCAACAGCUAAACCCCUCAAAAGAUAUUUAAAUCUCCUUAAAGAUGCAGGCAUUAAUCUGAAGUUCCCUUUUCUGGCUACUAUUUUCAUAAGGGUAUGAAAUAAGCAAAACCUCAGUAUCAACCAUAGAAGGACAAUGCCUUGAGUCUCAGGUUUGUAAUUUUUUGUUUGGUUGGGGGUUUUUUUUUUUUCAACAAAAUACACAUUUGAUGCAGUAACCUAAUAUAUACAUCUUCCAACAGGAAAAAAACCCCUGUUGUUCCAGGUAUUACACUACCAUUUCAUACCAUACUAAGCUUUCCCAUACCAAUGCCUGUCAAUUCAAGCUGAAUAACUCAGAUGGGUUUAGGUGUUUAAUUUCUCAUUAAAACUAAACUGAAGACUUUGACGGAGACCACUUAUUAAAGAUGUGUAACAGAUACACUGCAAUGCAACCAGAUGGUCAGCAAGCAACACUUUCAUUUGUUACUGCACGUAAUGUGUUUCUGUCACACUGUGUGUGUCAAUCAAUGGGCAGCCUCAGCAGAGCACAACAAAGCUGAGUUCUCGUCUCAGUUACAUGGGUGUUUUUCAGCCAUUGACACUGCUGUCACCAAGGUCUCUGUGCCCUUGUUCAGAGUUCAUCCUGCGAGGUUGCAUCCCAGAGUAUUUGGGGUAGCCAAUGCCAGCUUCUCCCUGGGCUGCCUUGGAGCAGCUGGAAGCAUGAAGAUUUACAGCAGGAAGAGGGCAUCAGGCUCCCAGCAGCUUUCAUAUCAAAGAAUAUUCUCAUCCCUGCCAGCAGAAGAUAAGUGGCCAGACACAGGUGAGAACUCAUCAAUCAGAAAAACUACAUUAAAUAACAGGUAAGCAGUGGCUGACUUGGCAGUAGAUAUUAGCCUGUAAGUGCUGUUAUUAGCUGUGACGAUAAGGGCAGUGCCCAGAAAGCACAAAGCCCAAGAGAAGCAGAAAGGCACAUUUCAGGUGAUUAGGCAGGCGUUGCAGAAGGCUCUCCCAUCUGUCUUGUCACAGCAAGAGCUCACUAUGUUUACACUACAAAAUGGGCUUCACUGAAAACAAAUUUUAAAGUUACCAUAUUCCUCUUUGUAAGCUGCUUUCUGGUGAAGUAGUGUUUACAUACAUAAAUAAAUAUAUUCAGUGAAUCACCAACAUUCCCAUCUGCCAUUUAGUACACUUGUAUCAUUAAAGGGCAGACCUGAACCUGAGUACCUGAUUUGCAACACUUUUUUUUUUGACAAACGGGGGGAGAGGGGGAGAGAGAGAGAAUUUUGUAGUUCCAUAGAAUUUCCAAUUAAUUUCUAAAACUCUGAACAGCAAAGCAUAAAGAAUUAGGCGUUUGGUUUGGGUUUUUGUUUGUUUGUUUAAAUGGGAAAACCAACACACAAUAACUAGGUGCUUGUAUUAGGGUCAGGCUAAAAUACCAGGAAGACAACUAAACUUACAGCCUUCAAGCUGCACUACCAUUACCUUUCACCUGUAUUGCACCACUCCCCCCAAAAAUAAAAAUCAGAGUAUACUUUGUUCUUAACCUAGUGUACACAUGCCAACAGAAAUACAAAUCUCUCUAGGGCAUCUAUCAUGUGGGCUGUGCUACCCAGAUGCACUCAGAAUUGAUCCUCAGAAAUUCCUACCCAACUCACAAAGAUUGUCCACACUAGCAC